UCUUACACUUUCUUCCCCCAAUCAUCACACGUUCUCUUGGUCUUCACUGGCUCAAACCUCAGCCAUGUAGCCCUCCUACAACCCCCAGAUGCUCAGCCACCUGGUUAGGUCAGAGAAAAGAGACAUAGUGCUGAGUGUCACCAGCAUGUUUCGCUCUUCCUCCAAGGCCAGCUGGUGGGAAUGCUGGAGUAUAAGGCUCGCUCUCUUUACACACAGGGAAACCAUUCCCAACAACAUUCUUUUAAAACUCUUCAAGCCCUUCCAGAGUAGCUGUUGGUAAUGCAAGGCACCUUGAUGCACAAUUCAAGAUGAAGGGAGGCUCUGAAGCACAGAGGUAGUUCAUCAGCUAAUCAUCCUCAGAAAUUAGCCACUGAAAUGAGCACAGGCCUGUGGAGCUGUGCAAUUCCCCAGGACUGACACAGCAGCCUGUGUCACAUUCUCCUUUGUAGGAACACGUCGCUGGCUAUUUCACGAACAGGACAGAGCCUACUACCACCUCCGCCAGCUGCUACUGUUACCUGAGUAGCAGCAGCUGAGGUCUCCAGAGGGCAGCUGCUUCCAGAGUCAGACAGCAGAGCUUUGUGCAAAGGGAACCCAGAAGGAGCCUUUCUUC